rnacentral:lncRNA from 1 species
GUGAUUGCAGUGUUCCCUCAGAGCUCCAGUGUUUAUUUUGUUAUAACACUUGGUCUUUUCUUCCAGUUAUAUUACUCUAGUGCUUGUCCUUCUAUUUCUCCAGAUUUGAGCUCUCAGAUGGCAGGGACCAUAUUGGUCUCUUGCUUUGCAGUUCCCAGGCCUAACUCAGCUCAUGGAACAAGGUAAGCAUUUGGGACAUAGUGGUAGAAUAAAUGAGAGGAUCUGGGAAGCUCUUGAAGCAGGUUCCAGUCAAUGAGCAGCUCAGACAGUAGAGAUGAUGCUCCUAAUAGGAGGUGCAGUACUGUGUGGUGGCAGGAAAAUGGCCAAAGGCCCUCUGAAGGCUCUUCCUGGCUGCAGAUGCUCCAGCAGAGCACAGUGGGCUCAGUCUCUCUCUGGUGGCCAGUGCUCACCCUGCACUCAUGGAGGAAAAAGCAUCACAGGAAACAGGCCUUUGUUUGAGUGACUUCUAGUCCUCAGUUUACCAGGUACCUGGGAACAAAAAAAAUACAGGGCCUGAAAGAUCCAGGGGCAUUAGACGGACCUUCUCUUUCCCCUCUUGGCUACAACAGCCCUGGAGUCCCUUGACCUCCCAAACUCUUUUCACCACAGCCAAGGCAAGGACUCUGGCCCCAGUUCCACAUGAGGCACUGAGGCUCCAAAAAAAAAAGUGGUCUUCUUCCCCUUUGAGGAUGAAUGGUUUAUAAUCCACCAUUCUUCCAUAUCCCACAUCUGCCUUCCUCUCUCCUGUCAGCUCUGAAGUCCCUCCAGGUGACAGAAAGGUUUUUUCCAAGAACUAGAACACAGUGUCACACUAGCAGAACUGAGGCAGGUGAACAUGCAGGACCCCUGUGAUGACCAACUCCAAGUUCCAAAAUAUGUAGAAAAGGAAAUAGGCCUUCUAUCCUGUAUUCCUCCUUCAGGGGGCUUGUCCUAGUCAAAGAUGCUGGUAGACAUAGGGCCCCAGGUCAUGUCCUCCCUUUGCUUUCUUUAAUGGAUUUUUUUUUGGGGGGGGGGGCUGUGCUGGGGAUCUAACCCAGGGCCUCACCCAUGCCAGGAAGCUCUGUACCACUGAGCUAUAUCCAGAGCCACCCUCUUUGCUCUUUUUGGGAUGGCCCAAAGUAAGCAGAUCCCUGACCACCUUAGGGACAACCCAAGACUGAAACCCUUGCAUUCUCUCCCCAUUCCACGCUCUGCUGAUCAUGGUGCAUAGAAAUGGCCUACUCCUGUUCCAUGAAAGAGCUGUCUCCAAUCUCUUCCUACUUUUCUGUGUCACUUCUCAGGGUCCACAUCUUCUCUAAUCCACACCCUGGUGCCCACAUAUGGUGUCAAGAAUGUGUACCAGUGUGUGUGUGUACCUGUUGGGAUGCUGAGAGGAAAUGGUCUCACAUGGCAAAGAUAGGCAGAGUUCCUAGGAGGGAGUUCUCCUUCCAAAGGAAAUCUCCUGCUAGUUGACUGAGUCCUGACUUAGCAAGUCAAGACCCAGUCUUCUAUGGAGUCUGUCCUUGUCUUGUGCCCUGGACCAGUCCACGCCUGUCACUGGGCCUUGGUUUCCCAAAUGUCCUACUAAAUGUUAGAGAGGAACUAACACACAGGCCUUUGUGGUAGAUGCUGAUUAGUUCCCCAGGUUGGUUAGGGUGGACAAGGUGGUGCUUCAGGGUCCCAUGUUACUGUCUUCCCAGGAGGGAUGCAGGUGCACCCUGUCCUUGUUUUCCUAGCUCAUGCGUGCUGCAGUUGGCAUGUUCAUGGAAACAGAGCCACUUAGCACUUUCCCAGGGGUUCCAUCAUUCCUGAAGUGUGAUACCCUAUGUCUCCCAUCUCUCCACUGUCAGAAAGUAUCAUCAGUCUCAUUUAGCCACAUGGACAUGGGGGAGGGGGUGGAUCCCCAAAGCAAAUGUGAGGUUCUCUGACUAUUAGAAGUGGGCUCCAAUGGGAGCCAGGCAAAUCACAAGAUCCUCAGAAGCAUGCUUGACAUCACCACUUUCAGAAAAGAAUAUAUAUAUUCUAGAAGAGGGAAGGGUCUGGCUUGAGUUCCCACAGUGAUUCAAGGAGAAACUGGGGAGGGAGGGAGAGAAUAUCUUCUUUCUGCUAUGGAAGAAGUGGGAGUGGUGCUUCAUGCUGACCCGGACUGUGCCCACUCACCUCACUGUCUUUCUGCCCCAGCUUCUCUGGAGCUGGUUUUCAUCCCUGAGUCUGUCCCUGGCCCCAGAUGCUACAUUUUAUAGAGUUUGAGGGGGAAAGAGGACAGAAUGCUGCAUAGCUGUGUUGGUUCCAUGAGAGCUGCUCCCCAAGUCCCCACAUUCUUUCUGCUCACUUCUCAUCAGCUUGAGCUGUAGCCACAAUUAGCUACAAGAGAGGUGAGCAAUGACAAACUUUUAGUUUGAUGAGUUGCUUGCCCUAUAAACCAAGUCUUUAUUUUGAAGAAAUAGACAAAGUUAAACCAUGUGUUCAAGAACAGACUCGUUCCUUCCUAAGCUCCAAGAUUAAGUGGAGAAAGUGGAGUCUUUUGUGGGUGCUAGGCACUGAUUUGUUACCAAACCAGGCCUGUCAUGCCUUCUCACAGUAUGCCCAUCCUAGAGACAAUUUUGCAAAAGAGAACUUUUUCACAAGGCAGCCAAGUGUGGAGGUGGGAAUCUCAAAUCUCAAAUCUGCCUCCCUGAGGCUAGGCUUCUGGGCCAUUUAUGGGAUGAAGGAGCAGGUGGCAGUGACUGGAGGUGAAGCAGACAGUGGUUUGUGCAUGCACAGUCUACACUCAUGGCUUUUCAUGACUUGAAUUUUUGGAACAAGGUAGCAUCAGCAUGGCGUGAGGGUGUAGUUUUCAGCCUUUUGACAUCAAAGUCCCCUGUUAGACACUUUCAGAUCCAAAUGAAGAGUUGAUGGUUUUGACAAAGGUGGCCUUCACAUCCCCGAAAAGUGACCAAAUUCACACCUCAGAGAUUAUUAACAUUGCUCAGCUGCUAGACAUCCAAAAGUAGUGAUUUUUAAAGUGAACUAAAAGCCAGUAACUCAAAGCAAGUGAAACUGGAAAGAUUAUUUGGGGAUCUCUUGAUUCCAUGCCCACUGCCAUGCCCUUUCUUUUCUUGAUGAUUCUUCAUUCCCAGAGAGAGGGGCAAAGUCUGCGCUGUAUCCCAGGAUGUUUGUUGGGAAGCCUGUGUUUAGUUCCCUGGAAGAAUGGCUAGAGCCUCUGUGUGGUCUUUCAUCUGCUAUGCCCCAAAAGGAGCUGGGAGAAAAUCCCCUCCUAUACUUAUAUAAGGUGGGGAAGCAGAAGGUGGUGGAGGCCUUCAUAGACACAGCAUGCUCCUAGAAUUGCUCAAAAUUAAUUCUCUGUUUGGGCUAGGAUUGUGGCUCAGCGGUAGAGCGCUCGCUUAGCACAGGUGGGACCCAGAUUCGAUUCUCAGCACCACAUUAAAAAAAUAAAGGCACUGUGUUGUGUCCAUCUCUUUCUCAAAAAAAAAAAAGUCUCUGUGAUGAAGGAAGUAAAAUGCUUUGACACCAGGACACUUCAACUCCCAUUGUCAAUAUCACUAAUGAAGAUACAUCACACUGACUAAAACCAUUCAUGAUGUAUGGUAAUACCAAUCAUUUAAAAAGAAUUGAUGGAAAAAUACUUUGAAAAUAUUUUGCUAUGCAGUGCUUGACCCAGGACACUUGAAAAGACAUAAAUAGUGAUUGCUAAAUUAAUCUUUAAGGGUUAGAAUCUAUAAUAAGUAUAUUGUAAUGUGGACAAGAUAUCAAGUCAUUUAUGUCAAAUAUAACUGAUAAAAUACUUUCAUUAAACUAAAAAUAAGUGUAGAUAAAUGAAAUUGGUAUAUUGUGUGAUAUAUUUUAUACUGUUUUAUUUUAAAAAUUUUUGGUUGUUGUUAUUGAAGUCAGGAGUGCUUCACCACUGAACCAUAUCCUAAGCUCUUUAUUUUUUAUUUAUGAGGCAGCGCCUCACUAAGUUGCAGUUCUUGCUUCAAACUUGCAGUUUUUCUGCCUUAGCCUCCUGAGUUGCUGGGAUUUAGGUGGGUCCCACAGUGCCCCGCUAAUUAUUUUAAAGCCUUAGAAUUAAAAAUGUGUUAUUGAAGUCUGUUCUCAAAAAUAUUUCCUCAAAAAAAAAAGUUAAAAUGUUGGCAUAAUCCUGCUUUCAUUGUAUUGAGUACAGACUUAAAAAUAUUUUGAGGGAUCACAGGUUUGGGGGCAAGAACAGUAGGGUCCAAAGGUAAAACUGAUAGGGUAAAAUUCCUUCUGUAUUUUUGGUGUGCCAGGGAGAUGCCUAUGUAAGUUAGUCCUAUGAUCAGGUUUUAAAGCAUAUGUCUUCAUUACAUCAUGCCAAAUCACCCCACAACUUAUAUCAUUUCAGUGGCCUCAUGCUGUACUUUGUGUCUACUUGUCAUUACUGGUUGGUACUCAGGUUGGGGGGCAGCUCUGUUCCCUCAGGCAUUCAUGAGCCCAGAGUUCUUCCUUCUCAUGCCUUCACCAAUCCCCACCCUGGAUCUCAGCCCCAGUCUGCAUCCCUCAGCAGGAGGGAAGGAACUUGGAGAAACUCACAUGAGGGGAAUGUAUGGGCCUGCUCUACAGGUGGCUCCUCUCAGUCCCACUUCUCUUCCAUUGGCCAGAACUAGUUAUGUGCCCACACAUAACACAAGGAAGCUGGGCAGCAUGGUGCAGGUGUGUGACCACAGAAAAAGAGCCUGGACAUUUGUGGAUAAGUAGGGAACAGGGAAGAAUUCAUCUGUACUAAGACCUGCAGUGUCCUGAGGUCUAAAGAUGAAUAUAGAUAUGAUGUGAGGAUCCUACAAUCUAAUAAAGGAAAGAAUAAAGAGAGUGUUCUCUGGAAGUCUGAGGGAUUAUUCUAGAUUGGGAAGUUGCCUGGAGAUGACAGAAAUUGAGCUCCAUUUUCAUAGUAAACCAGAUUUGAAUACUGCAGGGAGAUGGCUGCAGGAAGCAUAGAAGCAUGUAAUUUGUGCACAAGAUAUAUUAAGGAAUAAGCAAAUUUAAAUUCUAUUUUCUUUUUUUUUUCUUUUGUACUGGUAAUUAAAAUCAGGGAACCUAAUUACAGAGCCACAUCCCCAGCCCUUUUCAUUUUUUAAUUAUGAGAAAGGGUCAUUGCUAAGUUAUGUAGGGCUAUGCUAGGUUGCUGAGGCUGGUCUUGAACUUUGAAUCCUCCUACUUCAGUCUCCCAAGUGGCUGUGAGAACAGGCAUGAGCUACUGAGUCCAGCUUAAAUUCUAUUAUCAAAAACUGAAAGGCAUGGAAAAAUGCUCACAAUGGAUUAUCAGAGAAACUGAGAAUAUCAGAUGAUCCAAAUUUUGUAAAACCGUCUAAAUUUAGUUGAACAUCUAGAGAUGUGUGGGGUGAUAAUUUUCAAAUUUUCUAAAAUGAUUAUAAUAUAUACAAUCACAAGAAUUCCAUCAACAUGUUCUUAUGUGGUGUACUGUUCUUUAUACCAGCCAUAAAUACCUGUAGUGUAGACCAGGUAUUUUCCACACUUUGUCACCCAGGCCUUGCUGUUCAUGUGAGACAGAGACCUCAUGUCUACUUUCUGCCCUGCAAUCCAGAUCCUGAUUCUGGUGCCCAAGAAUAUUCCUUACAGCACUGCACUUGGGAAAAGGCCCCACUUGUUUAUAAUGUGAAAUGAUAAAACUGUUUUCCUCCAGAUGAAACCACCAAAGCAUUGAUAUUACAGAAUUUGGAUAUGAUGUAAUAGCAGGCCUCUGAAAAAGUCCAAGUCUUGGCUGACAAUCACUGAGCGCCAUAGCUCUCAUGCCAUUUUCUCAUGUGGCCACCAGCAGGCAGUGCAUGACUGCUUGCCUCCAUGACACCAUUGCAGAUAUUUGCAAGUUUUGCCCUCUACAAAACAUGUUUAAUAAUGAUAGAUAAUUUGUCUAAUAAACAUUCACUUGCUUUUAUUCUUCAUUAGGAUUUGGAAGCUGACAACUCCCUACAAGAAACAAACAUAAGGCCAUCCACUAGCUGGAAGACAUAUAUCUGGACAUAUGAAGACGUGAAAAAUGAUGGAUCCACCCCACAUCUCUGUUUGGAUUUCCCUCCCUCCUCCUUCCAUCGUGUACAAGCAUUCAUGUAGAACAUCUUGUGACAGAUGUGAUGUACCAUCGAUCUCUUUAGUGGUAUUAUUCCUUUUGUGAUGGGAAUCUUGAUGGGAAGUGAUGUGCUCCACAGAGACAGAAUGUAACUGAAAUGAUGAGGUCCCACUACAGGUCAUCAGCAAGAGGGCUCAGCCAGCUUUGUCAAAUUGUAGAUCCCAUGGUUAGCUUGGUUGAGAUCUGGCACACACUGUCUACUAUCCCCAAAGUACUAAGUUUUCUUUUCCCUGAGUAAAUUUCACUAAAACUCUUUAUAUCCUAAAAGAACAUCAGAUCCAAAUGAAAUUGGUGAUAAGCAUUUGAGGGAGAGAGAAGAUAAUGAUUUUAGUCACCUGCACACAACAAUUUAUCACUCUGCAUUAUAUUAUAACCCUUGGGUGUCCCUCACCAGACAGUGACCUCAGAGCAGAGUCUAUGUCUUAGUUCCAAUUCUAUCUCAAACAGUAGUUGCCAAAUACUGAGGAAUGAAUACAUUUACUUGAGACCCAAGAUCUGACAGGUUGGAGAGUAUUAUUUGAAUUGGUUAGUGAAACUAUUCUGUAGGAUACUCUAAUGGUGGAUAUAUGUUUAUUUUACAUUUGUCUAAACCCAUAUAAUAUAUAAUACUUUGUGCAAAACCAUAUUAUAUAUAAUACUAAGAUUGAGUCUUAGUGUAAACUAUCAAUUGCAAUGUAUACAUCAAAUUUUGGGGGAGGUAUUGAUAAUUGGGGAGAUUGUAUUUGUGUAGAGUAGGAGGUGUGUGGAAAAUCUCUGUCUUCUGCUCAGUUUUGCCAUAAAACCAAAAACGUUCUAAAAAAUAAAGUCUACUUUCUAAAAGUCCUUAUGGAGCAACUAAGAGAGAUAAUAAGAUGCAGAAACGUCAUAAGGAAACUAAAAUUAGAGUGACCAAAUUAUAAUCAUAAAGAAUAGAACUGAAGUUGCAAAAAACAUACUCCCAGACAGUGGAAAAACUGAGAAGAGGCCCUUCAAUGCAGAGAAAAGAUGUAACAGAAGAAACUAUGUGAAAGGAGGUUACGGAUGCAUAGUAGGGAGAAACACAAUUGUCCAUCUGUUUAGUGAUCAAUAUGCAUCACAUACAAGGGUGUCAUUCCUGCAAGAACUCUACAACAAAAGAAACAGAAGCCAUACUGAGAAAUACACUAGAGAACUUUUGUAAACCGGCUAAAUCAAAACUAUGCUUUUAUCAUUAUUUUGAUUUCCUCUAUUCGUAGUCUUAUGUUUCUGUUCUCCUUUAUAGCUUUAAGAGUGUGAGCAGAGGUGGGGUUGUGGCUCAGUGGUAGAGGGCUUGUCUGGCAUGUGUGAGGCACUGGGUUCAAUUCUCAGCACCGCAUAUAAUAAAUGGAUAAAAUAAAGGUUCAUAAACAUCUAAAAAAUAUUUUAAAACAAAGUGUGAGCAGUGCAAUUUAGUGUGGACUUUUUUGAUCAUGCCAACUUUAGAUUAAAAACAAGUCAUUGAGGGGUUGAGGUGGGGUUCAGUGACAGAGCCCUAGUCUAUCAUGUGCAAAGUCCUGGGCUGGAUUCCUGGCACUGAAAAAUAAAUAAAUGAACAAACAAGCAAAUA